rnacentral:tRNA from 1 species
GGGGCUAUAGCUCAGCUGGGAGAGCGCUUGCAUGGCAUGCAAGAGGUCGACGGUUCGAUCCCCUCUGGCUCCACCA